ACGCUCGACACCUACGGGGAGGCAGCAGGUGGGGAAUAUUGCACAAGUGGGGGAAACCCUGAUGCAGCGACGCCGCGUGAAGGAAGAAGUAUCUCGGUAUGUAAACUUCUAUCAGCAGGGAAGAAAAUGACGGUACCUGACUAAGAAGCCCCGGCUAACUACGUGCCANNCGCGAUACUGAGCGGCGUGCGAGCG
rnacentral:rRNA from 1 species